rnacentral:rRNA from 1 species
CCUACGGGAGGCAGCAGUGGGGAAUAUUGCACAAUGGGGGAAACCCUGAUGCAGCGACGCCGCGUGAGUGAAGAAGUAUUUCGGUAUGUAAAGCUCUAUCAGCAGGGAAGAAAAUGACGGUACCUGAUCAAGAAGACCCGGCUAACUACGUGCCAGCAGCCGCGGUCAUACGUAGGGGGCAAGCGUUAACCGGAUUUACUGGGUGUAAAGGGAGCGGAGACGGCAGCGCAAGACUGGAGUGAAAUGCCCGGGCUUAACCCCGGAACUGCUGUGAAAACUGUGCCGCUAGAGUGCGGGAGAGGUAAGUGGAAUUCCUAGUGUAGCAGUGAAAUGCGUAGAUAUUAGGAGGAACACCAGUGGCGGAGGCGGCUUACUGGAAUGUAACUGACGUUGAGGCUCGAAAGCGUGGGGAGCAAACAGGAUUAGAUACCCCAGUAGUC